AACACAUGCAAGUCGAACGGUAACAUUUCUAGCUUGCUAGAAGAUGACGAGUGGCGGACGGGUGAGUAAUGCUUGGGAACUUGCCUUUGCGAGGGGGAUAACAGUUGGAAACGACUGCUAAUACCGCAUAAUGUCUUCGGACCAAACGGGGCUUCGGCUCCGGCGCAAAGAGAGGCCCAAGUGAGAUUAGCUAGUUGGUAAGGUAACGGCUUACCAAGGCGACGAUCUCUAGCUGUUCUGAGAGGAAGAUCAGCCACACUGGGACUGAGACACGGCCCAGACUCCUACGGGAGGCAGCAGUGGGGAAUAUUGCACAAUGGGGGAAACCCUGAUGCAGCCAUGCCGCGUGUGUGAAGAAGGCCUUCGGGUUGUAAAGCACUUUCAGUUGUGAGGAAAAGUUAGUAGUUAAUACCUGCUAGCCGUGACGUUAACAACAGAAGAAGCACCGGCUAACUCCGUGCCAGCAGCCGCGGUAAUACGGAGGGUGCGAGCGUUAAUCGGAAUUACUGGGCGUAAAGCGCACGCAGGCGGUUUGUUAAGCUAGAUGUGAAAGCCCCGGGCUCAACCUGGGAUGGUCAUU
rnacentral:rRNA from 1 species